rnacentral:rRNA from 1 species
GACGAACGCUGGCGGCGUGCUUAACACAUGCAAGUCGAACGAAAAGAGGGAAAGAGCUUGCUCUUUCCGGAAUUGAGUGGCAAACGGGUGAGUAACACGUAAACAACCUGCCUUCAGGAUGGGUACAACAGACGGAAACGACUGCUAAUACCGAAUAAGUUCCAAGAGCCGCGUGGCCCAUGGAAGAAAAGGUUGCCUCUACCUUUAAGCUAUCGCCUGAAGAGGGUUUUGCGUCUGAUUAGCUGGUUGGAGGGGUAACGGCCCACCAAGGCGACGAUCAGUAGCCGGUCGGAGAGGAGGAACGGCCACACUGGAAGUGAGACACGGUCCAGACUCCUAGGGGGGGCAGCAGUGGGGAAUCUUCCGCAAUGGGCGAAAGACUGAGGGAGCAACGCCGCGUGAGUGAUGACGGACUUCGGGUUGUAAAACUCUGUGAUCCGGGACGAAAAGGCAGAGUGCGAAGAACAAACUGCAUUGACGGUAACGGAAAAGCAAGCCACGGCUAACUACGUG